UAGCCGGCCUGAGAGGGCGACCGGCCACACUGGGACUGAGACACGGCCCAGACUCCUACGGGAGGCAGCAGUGGGGAAUAUUGCACAAUGGGCGAAAGCCUGAUGCAGCGACGCCGCGUGAGGGAUGACGGCCUUCGGGUUGUAAACCUCUUUCAGCAGGGAAGAAGCGAGAGUGACGGUACCUGCAGAAGAAGCGCCGGCUAACUACGUGCCAGCAGCCGCGGUAAUACGUAGGGCGCAAGCGUUGUCCGGAAUUAUUGGGCGUAAAGAGCUCGUAGGCGGCUUGUCACGUCGGUUGUGAAAGCCCGGGGCUUAACCCCGGGUCUGCAGUCGAUACGGGCAGGCUAGAGUUCGGUAGGGGAGAUCGGAAUUCCUGGUGUAGCGGUGAAAUGCGCAGAUAUCAGGAGGAACACCGGUGGCGAAGGCGGAUCUCUGGGCCGAUACUGACGCUGAGGAGCGAAAGCGUGGGGAGCGAACAGGAUUAGAUACCCUGGUAGUCCACGCCGUAAACGGUGGGCACUAGGUGUGGGCAACAUUCCACGUUGUCCGUGCCGCAGCUAACGCAUUAAGUGCCCCGCGGGGGGGAAAUCCGGGA
rnacentral:rRNA from 1 species